UCCCUGGCGAUCCAGUGGUCAGGGCUCAGCACUUUCACUGCUGAGGGCCCUGGUUCAGUUCCUGGUUGGGGAA
rfam:Ovis aries breed Texel chromosome 17, whole genome shotgun sequence.